GCAGGGCGGCGAGGAAGCGGGGCUGAGCGCGGGCAGCGCUCCUCGCACCGCAAGGGGGCCGCGCGGAGCGGAGCUGGAGGGCGGCAGCGUUCCCCGCUCUGAGCUGGGACUCGUGGUAGGCAACUCCUAAAGGAUACUCCACGUGAAUGCUGUUUUUGCUCAUCUCUUUGGAGUCGUCUUCUUGAAGAGAUAUGCAGUCCCCUGCAGCAGCCAUUGUAGGUGUUGCACAGCAAGCUUUAUACAUUCACCACCUGAACAUUCACCUCUUGCCCGUGCACAGGGAGGAUGAGAACAUACACCUAUAGGGGGCACUAAAUGCGUCCACCUCUGUGGGUUUUGUUUCAUGGGCUCCACCCUGUUGUCAUUUACUGGCACUGGUGCUGACUCACCUGCCAAAGACAAUGUCCUUCUUCUUCAGCCACUGCCUUUUCCUGCCAAGCCCAAAUAUUUAGUCCAAAUAUUUAGGUCAGGAAAGCACCCGAAGGUUGGCAGUCACUCGCCUCUGCUUGUCGGCAUCCUGCUUGCUCCAGGUCUCCAUGGCGCUACAGGAACAAAAGACAGGUAGCUUGUGACAUCAGGAGGCCUCUAUGAUGGCAACCAUGAGGGUGGCCCAUGUGUGUGGCUAUCACAGGUGGUCUCCUGAUGUCCUGAGCCACUUCACCACCUUUUGCCCUGGGCCAUAUGAAAAGGAGGACCACUGGAGCUGUCCCACAACUGACUCAGCGUGUCAGCCCCACAGCGCCAAGGAGACUUGGUGGCUGCAUCUCCUCACCUACAGCCUUUGGUGGUAUCAGUGGCAACUAAAAUGGCAAAGGAGGAGAUACCUGAGGAACCCAGGCCAGCACUCGGACUGCUGGUUGAUGAAGCGAAUGGCUUGGAUUUGAUAAUGAUGUCCUCCUCAACAACUUCUUUCUGCUGAAACAAAGGUAUUUCUUGAC